GACGAACCGUGCGAACGUUAUUCGGAAUCACUGGGCGUAAAGGGUGCGUAGGCGGGUCUUUAAGUCAGGGGUGAAAUCCUGGAGCUCAACUCCAGAACUGCCCUUGAUACUGGCGGUCUCGAGUCCGGGAGAGGUGAGUGGAACUGCGAGUGUAGAGGUGAAAUUCGUAGAUAUUCGCAAGAACACCAGUGGCGAAGGCGGCUCACUGGCCCGGUACUGACGCUGAGGUGCGAAAGCGUGGGGAGCAAACAGG
rnacentral:rRNA from 1 species